rnacentral:rRNA from 1 species
UGCACACACUGCCCAUCGCUCCACCCGAGCUGGGUUUGGGUGAGGGCCGCUCGAGUUGGGCGGUUCGAACCCGAACCCGGUGAGGGGGGAGAAGUUGUAACAAGGUAGCCGCACCGGAAGGUGUGGCUGGAUCACCUCCC